rnacentral:lncRNA from 1 species
AUUUAAUAUAAGAUAAAUGUGGUACCACAGAAAAUGGAAAAGGAUGCCUUGUUUGGUAUAUGGUCUUAGGAAAACUGGCUCAUCUCCUGGAGAAAAAGCUGGACUUUUGGCUUACACCAUACAAAGAUGAACUCUAGAUGGAUUAAAAACCUAAAGGAGAAAGGUAAAAAUACAGAGCUGGGGGGCCGGCCCCAUGGCCAAGUGGUUAAGUUCAUGCGCUCCGCUUCUGCAGUCCAGGGUUUCGCUGGUUCGGAUCCUGGGCAUGGACAUGGCACCGCUCAUCAGGCCGUGCUGAAGGCAGCGCCCCACAUAGCACGACAAGAAGGACCCAAAACUAAAAAUACACAAGAAAAUCUUAAAUUGGACUUAAGUAUCCUUUUAAAAUCCUUCCAUGACGCUGUCAGCGAGCACUGGCAAGAUCACUAAAAUCACCAUCUUCUGUUUCUUUCAGCAGUUCCAUAAGUUGGCCACGAUUCCUAGCAUUUGUACCUAAACACCAAAUAACUGUUAAACAACUCUACUCCUCACGCUUCUCAUAGGGUCUGCCUAGAAGGCUGAGCACAAAUAUUUUCAAUAUAUCAUACUUUGGAACGAAGCAGUAAGGGAACCAGCAGUCCCUUGUUUUAAAUUUCUGAUAAAUCUGAAUUUUUGUUCUAAUAGAGAUGGACCACGAUGUGUCAUAUUAGAAACACAUUUUUUUUUAAAAGAUUGGCCCCUGAACUAACAACUGUUACCAAUCUUCUCUUUUUUUUUCUUUUUUUUCUGCUUUUUCUUCCCAAACCCCUCCUAGUACAUAGCUGCAUAUUUUUAGUUGUGGAUCCUUUUAGUUGUGGCAUGUGGGACACUGCCUCAGCGUGGCCUGACGAGCGGUGCCAUGUCUGUGCCCAGGAUCCAAACCAGCGAAACCCGGGGCCGCCAAAGUGGAGCACGCAAACUUAACCACUCGGCCACACAGCCAGCCCCCUAGUCUCUUUUUUUAAAGUGUCCAGUUGUACUAGUUUCUGU